rnacentral:tRNA from 1 species
AGUCUUAUAUUCAACAUAAUGAUAAUAGAAUGCAAUUCUAUAGGGGUAAAUGAAUUUACUAAGACUU